UCUACAACCAUGAUGCCACUUCCUCCUUCUGUCAGCCAAUUUCCAGUGAGGAAACAAAUGCUACAACGACCUUUUAAAGCUGAUAAAAAAGCCAUUUCAUUAGAAAUGUACUGAUUGCCAACUUUUUGCUGCCACAAAGGAUUUACCAGUACCAGAUGCUCCUUAAACAGGUGCUGCUAGGGCUGGUUGCAGUUUUGUCCCAGCAGGCAAGUUGGGUUGACCGCCCAAUUGUGUACAUUAGCUGGAAAUUGUCAGAUGAAGAAGCCCGGUAUACCACCGUGGAGAAAGAGUGCUUCGUAGCUGCCAGGGAUGGAGAAAGGAGAAGUCGGAGCAGCUGAUCGAGCGAUGACAGGAGCAGAAACGCCAAGCAGACUGUCAACCAUUGGGUGCGAGGGUUUUGGAAAGUUACCAAAAAGCAGCUAUGACUGUGUCGUCUAAGGCAGGAGUGGAAAAUAAAAGCAAAAGAACACGAGAAUAAAAAUGAGUCGUGCCUGUCCUUUCACAUUAUUAUACUCUUCUUUCAAGUCUUGAGAACAAGGAAACAUCAUAAACUUUUAACCCUUUUAAAAGAG
ensembl:lncRNA